UAGGGAAUCUUCGGCAAUGGACGAAAGUCUGACCGAGCAACGCCGCGUGAGUGAAGAAGGUUUUCGGAUCGUAAAACUCUGUUGUUAGAGAAGAACAAGGACGUUAGUAACUGAACGUCCCCUGACGGUAUCUAACCAGAAAGCCACGGCUAACUACGUGCCAGCAGCCGCGGUAAUACGUAGGUGGCAAGCGUUGUCCGGAUUUAUUGGGCGUAAAGCGAGCGCAGGCGGUUUCUUAAGUCUGAUGUGAAAGCCCCCGGCUCAACCGGGGAGGGUCAUUGGAAACUGGGAGACUUGAGUGCAGAAGAGGAGAGUGGAAUUCCAUGUGUAGCGGUGAAAUGCGUAGAUAUAAGGAGGAACACCAGUGGAGAAGGCGGCUCUCUGGUCUGUAACUGACGCUGAGGCUCGAAAGCGUGGGGAGCAAACAGG
rnacentral:rRNA from 1 species